AUCUCAGAGGAAAGGAAAAGUAUACAUCCAUUGGGUGACUCCUAUAUCAAAUCAUGAAAGAGGCCAGAAGUGGUGUAGCAUGUAUUUGUAACAGGGUGGAAUAGAGUAGAUUGGACAAAACCUCUUCUCUGAGCCUGGGAGUAAGGAUCAUUGACUGUCUACACACAGGCUAGAAAAUGCCCUAGGGAAACUCGAAGUUGGAGGCAACUUCUACUCAGAAAACGUCAGUCGGAUCCUGGACAACUUGCUUGAAGGCUAUGACAAUCGGCUGCGGCCGGGAUUUGGAGGUGCUGUCACUGAAGUCAAAACAGACAUUUAUGUGACCAGUUUUGGGCCCGUGUCAGAUGUGGAGAUGGAGUAUACGAUGGAUGUUUUUUUCCGCCAGACCUGGACUGAUGAGAGGUUGAAGUUUGGGGGACCAACUGAGAUUCUGAGUCUGAAUAAUUUGAUGGUCAGUAAAAUCUGGACGCCUGACACCUUUUUCAGAAAUGGUAAAAAGUCCAUUGCUCACAACAUGACAACUCCUAAUAAACUCUUCAGAAUAAUGCAGAAUGGAACCAUUUUAUACACCAUG
rnacentral:sRNA from 1 species